ACGCUCGACACCUACUGGAGGCAGCAGUGGGGAAUAUUGCACAAUGGGGAAACCCUGAUGCAGCGACGCCGCGUGGAGGAAGAAGGUCUUCGGAUUGUAAACUCCUGUUGUUGGGGAAAAAGNGGAUGGUACCCAACAAGGAAGUGACGGCUAACUACGUGCCAGCAGCCACGGUAAUCUGAGCGGGCUGGCAAGGC
rnacentral:rRNA from 1 species